rnacentral:misc_RNA from 1 species
GAUGAAGAACGCAGCGAAAUGCGAUAAGUAGUGUGAAUUGCAGAAUUCAGUGAAUCAUCGAAUCUUUGAACGCACAUUGCGCCCCUCGGUAUUCCGUGGGGCAUGCCUGUUCGAGCGUCAUCUACACCCUCAAGCUCUGCUUGGUGUUGGGCGUCUGUCCCGCCUCCGCGCGUGGACUCGCCCCAAAUUCAUUGGCAGCGGUCCUUGCCUCCUCUCGCGCAGCACAUUGCGCUUCUCGAGGGGCUACGGCUCGCGUCCAACAAGCACAUUUACCGUCUUUGACCUCCGAUCAGGUAGGGAUACCCGCUGAACUUAAGCAUAUCAAUAAGCGGAGGA